GUGCUCACUUUGGCAGCACAUACACUAAAAUGGGAACGAUACUGAGAAGAUUAGCAUGGCCGCUGCAUGAGGAUGACAUGCAAAUUCGUGCAGCAGUCCAUAUUAAA